rnacentral:rRNA from 1 species
UUAAGCGACUAAGCGUACACGGUGGAUGCCCUGGCAGUCAGAGGCGAUGAAGGACGUGCUAAUCUGCGAUAAGCGUCGGUAAGGUGAUAUGAACCGUUAUAACCGGCGAUUUCCGAAUGGGGAAACCCAGUGUGUUUCGACACACUAUCAUUAACUGAAUCCAUAGGUUAAUGAGGCGAACCGGGGGAACUGAAACAUCUAAGUACCCGAGGAAAAGAAAUCAACCGAGAUUCCCCCAGUAGCGGCGAGCGAACGGGGAGGAGCCCAGAGCCUGAAUCAGUGUGUGUGUUAGUGGAAGCGUCUGGAAAGGCGCGCGAUACAGGGUGACAGCCCCGUACACAAAAAUGCACAUAUUGUGAGCUCGAUGAGUAGGGCGGGACACGUGGUAUCCUGUCUGAAUAUGGGGGGACCAUCCUCCAAGGCUAAAUACUCCUGACUGACCGAUAGUGAACCAGUACCGUGAGGGAAAGGCGAAAAGAACCCCGGCGAGGGGAGUGAAAAAGAACCUGAAACCGUGUACGUACAAGCAGUGGGAGCCUCUUUUAUGGGGUGACUGCGUACCUUUUGUAUAAUGGGUCAGCGACUUAUAUUCUGUAGCAAGGUUAACCGAAUAGGGGAGCCGAAGGGAAACCGAGUCUUAACUGGGCGUUAAGUUGCAGGGUAUAGACCCGAAACCCGGUGAUCUAGCCAUGGGCAGGUUGAAGGUUGGGUAACACUAACUGGAGGACCGAACCGACUAAUGUUGAAAAAUUAGCGGAUGACUUGUGGCUGGGGGUGAAAGGCCAAUCAAACCGGGAGAUAGCUGGUUCUCCCCGAAAGCUAUUUAGGUAGCGCCUCGUGAAUUCAUCUCCGGGGGUAGAGCACUGUUUCGGCAAGGGGGUCAUCCCGACUUACCAACCCGAUGCAAACUGCGAAUACCGGAGAAUGUUAUCACGGGAGACACACGGCGGGUGCUAACGUCCGUCGUGAAGAGGGAAACAACCCAGACCGCCAGCUAAGGUCCCAAAGUCAUGGUUAAGUGGGAAACGAUGUGGGAAGGCCCAGACAGCCAGGAUGUUGGCUUAGAAGCAGCCAUCAUUUAAAGAAAGCGUAAUAGCUCACUGGUCGAGUCGGCCUGCGCGGAAGAUGUAACGGGGCUAAACCAUGCACCGAAGCUGCGGCAGCGACGCUGAUGCGUUGUUGGGUAGGGGAGCGUUCUGUAAGCCUGUGAAGGUGUGCUGUGAGGCAUGCUGGAGGUAUCAGAAGUGCGAAUGCUGACAUAAGUAACGAUAAAGCGGGUGAAAAGCCCGCUCGCCGGAAGACCAAGGGUUCCUGUCCAACGUUAAUCGGGGCAGGGUGAGUCGACCCCUAAGGCGAGGCCGAAAGGCGUAGUCGAUGGGAAACAGGUUAAUAUUCCUGUACUUGGUGUUACUGCGAAGGGGGACGGAGAAGGCUAUGUUGGCCGGGCGACGGUUGUCCCGGUUUAAGCGUGUAGGCUGGUUUUCCAGGCAAAUCCGGAAAAUCAAGGCUGAGGCGUGAUGACGAGGCACUACGGUGCUGAAGCAACAAAUGCCCUGCUUCCAGGAAAAGCCUCUAAGCAUCAGGUAACAUCAAAUCGUACCCCAAACCGACACAGGUGGUCAGGUAGAGAAUACCAAGGCGCUUGAGAGAACUCGGGUGAAGGAACUAGGCAAAAUGGUGCCGUAACUUCGGGAGAAGGCACGCUGAUAUGUAGGUGAAGUCCCUCGCGGAUGGAGCUGAAAUCAGUCGAAGAUACCAGCUGGCUGCAACUGUUUAUUAAAAACACAGCACUGUGCAAACACGAAAGUGGACGUAUACGGUGUGACGCCUGCCCGGUGCCGGAAGGUUAAUUGAUGGGGUCAGCGCAAGCGAAGCUCUUGAUCGAAGCCCCGGUAAACGGCGGCCGUAACUAUAACGGUCCUAAGGUAGCGAAAUUCCUUGUCGGGUAAGUUCCGACCUGCACGAAUGGCGUAAUGAUGGCCAGGCUGUCUCCACCCGAGACUCAGUGAAAUUGAACUCGCUGUGAAGAUGCAGUGUACCCGCGGCAAGACGGAAAGACCCCGUGAACCUUUACUAUAGCUUGACACUGAACAUUGAGCCUUGAUGUGUAGGAUAGGUGGGAGGCUUAGAAGUGUGGACGCCAGUCUGCAUGGAGCCGACCUUGAAAUACCACCCUUUAAUGUUUGAUGUUCUAACGUUGACCCGUGAUCCGGGUUGCGGACAGUGUCUGGUGGGUAGUUUGACUGGGGCGGUCUCCUCCUAAAGAGUAACGGAGGAGCACGAAGGUUGGCUAAUCCUGGUCGGACAUCAGGAGGUUAGUGCAAUGGCAUAAGCCAGCUUGACUGCGAGCGUGACGGCGCGAGCAGGUGCGAAAGCAGGUCAUAGUGAUCCGGUGGUUCUGAAUGGAAGGGCCAUCGCUCAACGGAUAAAAGGUACUCCGGGGAUAACAGGCUGAUACCGCCCAAGAGUUCAUAUCGACGGCGGUGUUUGGCACCUCGAUGUCGGCUCAUCACAUCCUGGGGCUGAAGUAGGUCCCAAGGGUAUGGCUGUUCGCCAUUUAAAGUGGUACGCGAGCUGGGUUUAGAACGUCGUGAGACAGUUCGGUCCCUAUCUGCCGUGGGCGCUGGAGAACUGAGGGGGGCUGCUCCUAGUACGAGAGGACCGGAGUGGACGCAUCACUGGUGUUCGGGUUGUCAUGCCAAUGGCACUGCCCGGUAGCUAAAUGCGGAAGAGAUAAGUGCUGAAAGCAUCUAAGCACGAAACUUGCCCCGAGAUGAGUUCUCCCUGACCCUUUAAGGGUCCUGAAGGAACGUUGAAGACGACGACGUUGAUAGGCCGGGUGUGUAAGCGCAGCGAUGCGUUGAGCUAACCGGUACUAAUGAACCGUGAGGCUUAACCUU